AAGCCUGAUCCAGCCAUGCCGCGUGAGUGAAGAAGGCCUUCGGGUUGUAAAGCUCUUUCAGAUGCGAAGAUGAUGACGGUAACAUCAGAAGAAGCCCCGGCUAAUUUCGUGCCAGCAGCCGCGGUAAUACGAAAGGGGCAAGCGUUGUUCGGAUUUACUGGGCGUAAAGGGCACGCAGGCGGUCUUGCCAGUCAGGGGUGAAAGCCCGGGGCUCAACCCCGGAACUGCCUCUGAUACUGCAGGACUAGAGACUAGGAGAGGGUGGUGGAAUUCCCAGUGUAGAGGUGAAAUUCGUAGAUAUUGGGAGGAACACCAGAGGCGAAGGCGGCCACCUGGACUAGAUCUGACGCUCAGGUGCGAAAGCGUGGGGAGCAAACAGGAUUAGAUACCCUGGUAGUCCACGCCGUAAACGAUGAGUGCUAGUUGUCGGGAUUUCGAUUUCGGUGACGCAGCUAACGCAUUAAGCACUCCGCCUGGGGAGUACGGUCGCAAGAUUAAAACUCAAAGGAAUUGACG
rnacentral:rRNA from 1 species